rnacentral:rRNA from 1 species
UACGAAGGGGGCUAGCGUUGCUCGGAAUCACUGGGCGUAAAGGGUGCGUAGGCGGGUCUUUAAGUCAGGGGUGAAAUCCUGGAGCUCAACUCCAGAACUGCCUUUGGUACUGAAGAUCUUGAGUUCGGGAGAGGUGAGUGGAACUGCGAGUGUAGAGGUGAAAUUCGUAGAUAUUCGCAAGAACACCAGUGGCGAAGGCGGCUCACUGGCCCGAUACUGACGCUGAUGCACGAAAGCGUGGGGAGCAAACAGG